CACAAGGAAAUACAACUGAAUCUUACUGUGAAAGGAAGGGCUGCACUUUGUUUCAUCUCAAGCCUGCCUUGAGGCUGGUGCAAAAAAAAAAAAAAAAAAGCUUAUGUCCACAGAACAUGUAUCUCUUAGACUCCUCUCCUAGCUGUUGGUGGGGGAUUCUAUGCUGUCCAACCAAGUUCUCUGUCAGUUUUGACAACUUUGAACCUAAGAAAGGAUGUUGAAUGAGGAAGGUCAAUCACUGAAAAGCAACAUUCAACUAAUCAGAAACCACAGAUAUGAAAUAGGUGAU
rnacentral:lncRNA from 1 species